rnacentral:rRNA from 1 species
CACCGCGGUUAUACGAGAGACCCAAGUUGAUAAGGCACGGCGUAAAGAGUGGUUAAGAUUAACUAGAAACUAAAGCCGAAUGCCCUCAAAGCUGUUAUACGCCCCCGAAGGUAAGAAGACCAACCACGAAAGUGACUUUACACUACUGAACCCACGAAAGCUAGGUUA